CCUACGGGAGGCAGCAGUGGUUGCACAAGCGGUGGAGCAUGUGGGACGAAGGCCUUCGGGUCGUAAACCACUGUCAGUGGGAAAGAAGGGUGUCGGCGUUAAUAGCGCCGGCAUUUGACGGUACCUGCAGAGGAAGCCCCGGCUAACUCCGUGCCAGCAGCCGCGGU
rnacentral:rRNA from 1 species